rnacentral:rRNA from 1 species
GAUGAACGCUGGCGGCGUGCUUAACACAUGCAAGUCGAACGGUGAAGCCAAGCUUGCUUGGUGGAUCAGUGGCGAACGGGUGAGUAACACGUGAGCAACCUGCCCUGGACUCUGGGAUAAGCGCUGGAAACGGCGUCUAAUACUGGAUAUGAGCCUUCACCGCAUGGUGGGGGUUGGAAAGAUUUUUUGGUCUGGGAUGGGCUCGCGGCCUAUCAGCUUGUUGGUGAGGUAAUGGCUCACCAAGGCGUCGACGGGUAGCCGGCCUGAGAGGGUGACCGGCCACACUGGGACUGAGACACGGCCCAGACUCCUACGGGAGGCAGCAGUGGGGAAUAUUGCACAAUGGGCGGAAGCCUGAUGCAGCAACGCCGCGUGAGGGAUGACGGCCUUCGGGUUGUAAACCUCUUUUAGCAGGGAAGAAGCGAAAGUGACGGUACCUGCAGAAAAAGCGCCGGCUAACUACGUGCCAGCAGCCGCCGUAA